rnacentral:rRNA from 1 species
CGCUAUUGCCGGAUGCUUUACAAUGCAAGUCGAACGGGCUUAAGGGGCUUGCUCCUUAAGUUAGUGGCGAACGGGUGAGUAACAUAUCGGAACGUAUCCAAUAAUGGGGGAUAACUAAGCGAAAGCUUGGCUAAUACCGCAUACGCCCUAAGGGGGAAAGCAGGGGAUCUUCGGACCUUGCGUUAAUGGAGCGGCUGAUAUCUGAUUAGCUAGUUGGUGAGGUAAAGGCUCACCAAGGCUUCGAUCAGUAGCUGGUCUGAGAGGACGACCAGCCACACUGGAACUGAGACACGGUCCAGACUCCUACGGGAGGCAGCAGUGGGGAAUUUUGGACAAUGGGCGCAAGCCUGAUCCAGCCAUUCCGCGUGAGUGAAGAAGGCCUUCGGGUUGUAAAGCUCUUUCGCAAGGGAAGAAACGUUACUGGUGAAUAACCAGUGAUAAUGACGGUACCUUGAUAAGAAGCACCGGCUAACUACGUGCCAGCAGCCGCGGUAAUACGUAGGGUGCGAGCGUUAAUCGGAAUUACUGGGCGUAAAGCGUGCGCAGGCGGUUUUGUAAGUCAGAUGUGAAAUCCCCGAGCUCAACUUGGGAACUGCGUUUGAAACUACAAGACUAGAAUAGGUCAGAGGGGGGUAGAAUUCCACGUGUAGCAGUGAAAUGCGUAGAGAUGUGGAGGAAUAUCAAUGGCGAAGGCAGCCCCCUGGGAUCAUAUUGACGCUCAUGCACGAAAGCGUGGGGAGCAAACAGGAUUAGAUACCCUGGUAGUCCACGCCCUAAACGAUGUCAACUAGUUGUUGGUAGAGUAAAAUCUAUGAGUAACGCAGCUAACGCGUGAAGUUGACCGCCUGGGGAGUACGAUCGCAAGAUUAAAACUCAAAUGAAUUGACGGGGGCCCGCACAAGCGGUGGAUUAUGGUGGAUUAAUUCGAUGCAACGCGAAAAACCUUACCUGGCCUUGACAUGUACGGAACUUUCAGAGAUGGAUU